AGGCAAAUAUCUUUUAACAAAAAAAGGCAUUAUUUAAGUAAUUAAAACACAAAAUAUUAUUAAUCUUCUCUUUAUAAACUAACAGAACUAGACAAUUAGACAUCUUUGGCGCAAAGAUAAAAAAAAUAAACAUAAAAAAUAAAGUCUUAUUCCUUCUAUGAAAAAAUCAACUAAGUAUUUGUUCUCUUCUCUCAUAUUUUAAAACAAAUAAGAUAACUUUUUAACUCAGUUUUAAUUAUACUAGGAUAAGAUGUCUUAUCUACCGGGGUGAUGAUACAAAAUCGAAUCCAUCAGGAAACGCAAGAUACGAAUCUCAAAAUAAAAC